CAUGUUAGUGUGCUGGUUAACCACACACGCUCCACUAACGACUUUGAGAAUGCAAAUAUCACAAUUGCUAUCUAAUUAAAAUCUAUUUAGUGAAAGCGUUUCCUCACCAUCAUUUUCAUGAAUCGGAGAGAAACCUUAUGACACUUAGAUUUUGUGGUGUAUGUGUUCCUAUCCAUGUGAAUUUGGCAUAACCACAAGAGGAGAUUAGUGACAAAUCCAAACUCAUAUGGACUGAACUUGUUCAAUCUUAACUUCUUGCCACCUGGUAGCGCAAGGGCCUACCAUUUCUUCCAUGUAGUUAUGCAAACGAUUGAGAACUCAUAGAACUCAAAUGCAUAGUCAACUUUAACUGGAAUGGGAACAGAAACAAGAAUAUGUCAACACGAUAGGUUACAAACCUCAAGUCGUGUGCCAACGAUAAACAGUAUGUUUUAUUGAUUAGUUCUUGAGACUUUUCAAGAUCUUUAAGACUCCCACUGACCUCUUGACAUAUAAGAUUCUCUUGUUAAGAACCAUUCCUUGACAAAACAAAUAUUCAAAAGUUAGUGCAAUUCUUAUCAAGACAAACACUUCACAAAAUUGGCCUUGGUUGGUCUUUAUUUUAUCCAAAACAUCACAACUCACCAAUUUCAAAUGUACAAGAGCAGAAAACAUUUUACUCUACAUUUGAUAAGUGUCAUAAACCUUCUUAAGAUUAUGUCACUCAAGUUACAAUCUUGGAUUAUUACUCUGAGAUUCAAUUUGGAACGAAGUAUGGUUCAUCUUUUGAUUUAACCAUUUCAACAAUUCACAAUUCCUCUUCUUAGUCAAACAAAUGCACUAAGAUGUCGUUAGAUGAUCAAUUGUGAUAUGGUUUUUCAUAAUCAUUAAGAUGAUCAUAAAACAUGAUAUUGAAGUACUCUCCUAUCUUUUGAGGGUGGAGAAACUUUUAUCUUUCUGCCUAAUUUGAUUCUUCUCAUUCAUCCUGCCAUACACUGAAACUUUUCCAAUGUUUUAGAAUUAUACUUAAACUUGUAAGCACAACCAUAUUUACUAAACUUUAGUAAAUCAUGACGAAUAGCCUUAUCGUUCUUUGUGGUGGAUUCGAUCAGCGCAUAACCAAGUGUACCCGAUCUCCUAGUCCUUGACUUGACUCACAUAUACAUGUGAACAAGGAAUUAGUCUUAAUUUCCUAAAGAUGAAAAUUCUCAUUCAUCAUACAACACAAGUUGCAUGAUUCCAAGUUUCUAUCCAUCUAAAACUUGGGUGAUGAGAAUCUUUCCUUAUUUUUUGAUAAAUUAUGACACUGCCACAAACGAAAGAAUCAAAUCUAUUUUCCAAUAUUUAUAUCAAUGGAAUCAUAUAAACAACAAUUUUCACAAAUGCCAUUGUAAGGAUACUUAGAAUAAAUAAAAUCAAAACUUUUCUUUUAUUUUAAAACUUGCAGAAAAACUUAUCCUUACAAUGCAAAAUGCAAAUACAUAUGAAAAUUAUGUUACUAUGCAUUCCUAAGCAAUUUAUCAUAACUCUUAAGCAGCAGCUCAAAAUUCUGAUCAUCGAACCAUGCAAUCAAAAUCCAUCUAUUCACGAUCAGAAUCAACUUACUCUUCCUUUAAGCUUCCUCUUUUUUCUUUGAUUCUUAAAACAUCAAAAUACGACCUAGUCACAUCAUGUAAUAAGAGUCUCAAAAUAGGAACUUAAUAGAGUUAGAUGGUGGACUUUACCCGAAGUAGAGUCAAACUUUUUGACUUUACCAUCCUUAUGAUCUUUCAGGUAAAUAGGGAAGCUACGCAACCAAUGCCCCUUCGUUUGGCAAUAGAAACAUAUGGACUCUUUGGGAAUGGUACACGGGACUAUCUCAUAAUUAGCUUUUCUAUUUACCAUUUGGUCAACCGAGUUGACUAUGGCUGAUUCCUUUCCAUUGGGAAGAGAAAGUUUUUCUGGAUUUUCAAUGUUAUCAUUGUCAAUGUCCAUGGAAGUUUGGGAAGUCGAUCUUCCAAUAAAAUUUUCUUUACCAGUGCCCUAAAUCACUGUUGAUUCAGCAGCAAAUUUCAAGGUAACUGGGAUGAACAUUUACCCAUGGUAGAGUAUUCCUACAACAAUAGUUAACAUUCAAGCAUUAAGAUGGCAUCUUAUCAAGAUUUGUACGUUCAUAAGUGUCGUACACAGUCUUGUUGGCUUGAGGCCGGAGAAAAGCAGUUUAUGGGCCCCGAGAUAGUCCAUAAACUGCCAAAAAGCUAAAAGUGAUUAUAAAAAGGAUGUUGGCAGCUCAGGAUUGCAAAAAGAGCUAUCCUGACAAGAAGCGACGACCGAUGACAUUCAAAGUUAGAGAUUCGGUAUUGCUCAAAGUCUCACCGUGGAAGGGACUUAUACGAUUUGGAAAGAGAGGAAACCUGAGUCCAAGAUUCAUUAGAUCAUUUAAAGUUCUUCAGAGGAUUGGGAACCAAGCUUACAAGAUGGAAUUACCAUAAGAACUAGAUGAUAUUCAUAACACUUUCCAUGUGUGCUAUUUGAGGAAGUUCACAGGAGAAGUUCCCGAUAUAAUUUUACUUUCGAAGUUAAGGAUGGAUAGAAAUAAGAGGCUAAUCAAAGAGCCCGAGGCAAUUGUUUACCGUAAGACAAAGAAGUUGUGACACAAGGAGGUCAACUUGGCGCUUAUGCAAUGGAAACAUUCGAAUGUGCCGAACCUCACCUGGGAAAUAGAGAGUGACAUGAUGAGUCGCUAUCCACAUAUGUUUGCUGAUGCAUGAUUCCGGGACGGAAUCAUCCUAAGGAGGAGAGAAUUGUAACUCCCGUGUUUCUAGGCUAAGCAUUAAUAGUAUUAUUUAAUAGUUAGGGUUAACAAUUGUAACCUAUUUUGCAGUAAUGAAGAAGAAUUAUUUGAGUAUUAUGUGAAUUAUGUGAUUUUAUGUGCAUUAUACUUGCUAUUAACGAUGUAAUAAAAUAAUAAUAAAAAUAAGCAUCAAAAAUAAAAUAACAGAUAUCUAUGAAGAAAGUUGAAAUAGUCGUAAUGGGGAUUUCGGGGAUAUAAGGAACGUUGAAAUCCGACAUAUAACGAAGUUAUGACCUAUCAAAGUUUUGCGACAAAACCGGCACGAUGUUAUGUAUCGUAAAAAGUCAUUUUGGUAUAAAAUAAUUUUUAGCCUUAGCGAUCUAAACGAAAGUCGUAGUAUAUGUUAAACCGAGAGCAUACAUAAAUAGAACGUCCAACUCUGAUUUCGUAUGAGUAAGUUAUGAUUUUUCUAAGAUUUGGCAUAGCAGUGCACAUCCUGGAAGUCGAAUUUUAGAUCGAUCGAUUUUUAGCCGACACAAUCUAAACAAGAAUUUAAUAUCUCGUUAAUAAGAACUAAAAGCUAUAAAGACAGGCGAAAACGGACGUCGGAUAACAAAGUUAUGAAUUUUUAACGGACUUUGUCUAUCUAAGCCUUUCAAAAUAUAACUUUAAAAAUAAAUUAAAAAUUAGCCGACGGAGUCCAAACGAAAGUUGUAGAUUACAUUGCCACCUACGCGUGGAUAUAAAGAACGUCAAAAAUGGAGCUCGUAUGCGAAAGUUACGGAAUUUAGAAGUUAACGGGAUUAGGAUGCAAGGGUGACAUGUGGCACAAGUACGCCCCACGCAGCCUACAUUACUUCGCGCGUACUCGCAUAUGCGAUCCCAACUUUCUCCAUGUGGAUGUGGCACAAGUACGCCCCACGCAGCCUAGAUUACUUCGCGCGUACUCGCAUAUGCGAUCCCAACUUUCUCCAUGUGGCGCCAUCCAGAACCUUGCUUUCUCCCCACGGCCUCGCAUGUGGAGCUGAAACCUGGCUUCGUACGUGCAGCAUAGCCCCUCGUACGCGCUACGUACUUCGAAGUUAUGCCCAAUGUAGUCCGAGGAGUUUAGCUGUAAAUAGAUGCGAGAGCACCCUCAUUUCUUCAUACCGUUCCCAUUAUUUCUCUAUAAAUACUCCAAAACUAUCCCUCCCCUUCCCUAGUACUUCCUAAGUGCUAGAGGCGAGUCUUGGAGCGCCAGAAGGCUCCGAGAAGUAGAGCUUUCAGCUCAAAAGUUCUGUCCCCACAGAGCUCGGUUCCUAGCCAAACCUCCUUGUAUGUGAGUUAUGUUUACUCUACUUUAUGUAUAACUUAUGUUUAAGGUCAUUGUCGUUAUUAUGAACCUAUAAACAAUAUAUGUGCUAAGUAUUAUAAAAUAUAAAGUGUUAUUAUAAUACCUUUUAACUACUCAUGGUACGAGGAAUCUGGUUUGAAGGGCCACAUAGGGUUGUUGGAUUUCAGAACAACUUUAAUGCCAAAAUGGUCAUGCCCUCCGGUGUUUCAUGUCUGGCCCCUGUCUAUACAUAGUGGUUGAAAAGUAUUGUUUAACACUUCUAAAAUAAUAUCGCUCAUAAAUAGUCGCAAUAAAUAUUAGAAUAAAAUCUAGUGGUAAUAAUACUAGGUUUCGUCGAAGGAAAAUAAAAUUGUUAGAAGCGAAGCGCUGCCCGAGUUUGGAGUCAUCACUUAAACAAGUGAGUGCAUAGUUACUUUCAUCUUACACAUAGAUAUGAAGUAUUUAAUAUAAGCUACAUGUUAUGUGUGCAUAUUAUCUGUGUUCUUGAUAUUUAUGUUGGAUGAAUAAAAUAUACAUGUUUUAUUUGAUUUAAAAUGUAUAUGUAUUUUAUACCUAUAAUUAUCAUGGGUAAAGAUGGGUAGAUGAAAUAGAUGAUGAGCGAUGAAAUAAAAUGAUAAGACACCUCGAUGUUUAAGCUGACUUAGUCAUCAAGCAGAGUAUAAAUGAUGACCACAUAUUAUUUUAGACAGUCUAGAGGAACUCUGGGAGGCUCGUAACUUGUACGUGUUUGUGAACGAUGUGUUCACCGGUGUACUCCAUCCCUCUCAUGGUUGCCUUACUGACAUAUAUUGUUGAGGAAUCCCCUAAGAAGUAUUGUCAUCCUAAUGAUGAUCCUUAGGCUAGGUCCCUUGAAUUAGAUGCUUUAGGGACAACAACUGAGGAUAAUAGGAAUGAGUAAUCGGGUUGAAUGAUUGGAUGAAAUUAAUAAAGUUAAUUAUUAUGGGUUGAAAACCCUAUUUGCUCACCAAGAUCCCAAGCCUGACCCACUCAGUUUCAUGCAAUACAGGUAGUGGCACAAGAGCAUAGAUGCGAUGAUCUAAUGAGAUAUUAUGGAUUAUAAGCUAGUAUAAAUAAAUAGAAUGUUGUAAGCCCUAUGUUGUUUAUGCUUUUUGUAUGUAUUGACAAUGACAUCCAGAGGUUUUUAAUAUAAUGAAAUACAUUUCUUCGGAAAUGCUUUGAAAAAUUAUUUAUCAUAUUUUUGGGAGCACAUUCCACAACAUUUUCUUCAAAAAAGGUACUCUGCUUUUUAAAUAAAGCAUAAAAAAUCGAUCUAUUCUGGCCGUGAAAUUAGGGAUGUCACUGAUGGGUUUUGAGCACUACAUCAUUCCUAUGGUGUACAUGCAAACCCUAAUAACUUUGGAUCUAGUUUGUCUAAUGACCAAGCAAUUGAUAAUCCAAAGCCAUAAACCCUAGAUCUAAUAAACAAUAACUGUAAUUAGGGUUUAGAUCUUACCUUUGAUUGUUAUAUAGCAAUAACAAUCAAUCCAUGGCUUCAAAAAGCUUAGUGCCUCAAGUGCUGCACCUCUAAUUCAGUCACAAACACCACUAAGCAACUUAGAUGAAGAGGGAGGAGAGAGGAGGCACUAAAAACGGAUGGAAACCCUAAAGGAAAUCUUAGCUACGUUUUUGGGUCUCAAGGGUUCUUUAAAUAGGUAAGCAAUUAGGGUUAUCUAACAAGGAAACCCCAAUUUGACUGCUUAAGCCCUAAGUAGCCCAUGGACCCCUUCUAGAACAUGCCUUGGAUGAUUUCUAAUGGGCUUCCCCAUAGAAUUCAUCCAACCUAUUAUUCCAAGGUGAUCCAUAGCCCAAUUGCAAUUAUCUUAUAAUUACAAUUCUAGUCCCCUAAGUGUAAUUAAUCUCUUUUAGCCAAAAAAAAAUUAAUUCUUUAUUAAUUCUUGACUAAUACUAAUUAAACAAUAUGAUUUCUCCUUUAAUAUAUUAUUCUCAUAAUAUAUUAAUAAAUCAUAGUUAAUCCUUUCUCUCCUCAAUUCAUCCUAUAUAUUGCUAUGGUGAAGGCAACCCAAAAGGACCAUGCUCAUAAUCGGGUCAAGUACAUACCAAAAUAGUUAUGGACUUAGACACUAAUCCAACAGUCUCCCACUUGGAUAAGUCUAAUAACUAUUUUGCAUAACUUCAGAACCUAAUCAUCAAUUGUAGCUUUCAAAGCCGAUGUCAACUCUGAUCUUAUCAGAUAGCGUGUCCUUUAGAUUAGGGAUUAUAUAUUCCUCCAUUCUCAAGAUAUCGUAUAAACAUAAGACAUGAAUUUCGAUCAUUCUCUCUAUACUGUUUCCCGACUUCUAAUUUAUGACGACUGAAAAUAGACUACAAUUAAAUACAUCAACUUAGUCCAGGCUUGGCCAAGCGCUUAGGUGUCAUCACUAAAUCAUCGAGAGGCCCACAUAUAUCGCUUUUAUCCCAUUUUGGGUAAAAGGAAUGGAUAAACUUCGACUCAAAUGCUCGUUUUCUCUUACUCAUCAAAUCACACACAACAAUAUGUUUUAUAACACCAAGUUACUGGUGUGUUUACAUAUUAUCAAUGUGCAACCGAACAACAGAUAACAACUCACACGUCUCGGUUUCAAGAAUAUACAAUAUUAUCGUCUCACAAUCACUCGUGAUAAAAUCCAUGAAGUGAUUCAGGUGAGUAUGUGUUUAAUCCAAUACUUUAAUCUUAUCAAAGCACUCAUGAGCUCUGCAGUAAACUUGUGCUACAUCUAAACACUUUAGACAAUCUACAGACAGAUUCAUGACAGUCUUCCUUCAUACCUACUUCCAACAUAUGACCGACUGUGGGGGUUUCAAUAACCCAGUUAUUCUGGAAGUCAAAACAUGCAAAGUGAAACACAAUGAUAAUAUUUAAUCCUAUAUGGCCCCAAAACUUUUGAGUGUAAACAAAACAAUUUUAUUUAAACACCAUAUUGAUUACUCAUUAUUCAUUGUUUUCUGUUUCAGAAAAUCAACUUAUUACUCAAAUUACAACAAUAGUUGUCCCAUGCACCAAGCAUGCACACUAUGUUUCCUAUGGACCUUACUUUAUGAAAUAGAUCAAUUGAAAAACUUUUCUAAUGAUGCUUAUUUCACAAUUACCAGUCCUUAUCAUUAGUGUAAGAACAUAAGGUUCUUGCCACUAUUAGAAUAUGCUAGAUUUUAACAUUUUAUGCAACGAUCCUUUCACAAAGUCAUAGUACAAAAGUCACUAAGACUUGGCCAAUAAAAUUACAAAGUACUCUAUCAGAAAUUGCUACAAGACAAUUCCAUAGAUGCGAAGUCUCACAUUCAAAGUACAUUCCUUUGAACAUCCUUCUUGCAUAAAAGUUUCUAUCUAGUCAUAGACUCUCAAUAUCUAACUCCCAAUAGGGAAACAUUUCCAUAUUUGCCAUAUGACAACUCAUUCUUAAUAGAAUCUUAUCUAUUCAUAAUAAUGUCGAUAUAGUCCAUCCAGUACCAUAUUUCCAACUACUCCCAAGCGACCAGUCCUCAGUGAACUUCGGAUCGUCCUUUGAUAGUUGUUUAAUUAUUUUAGUCAAAACCGAUUCUAGUCCUUUUUCCCUCUUAAUGCGCUAGACAUUUGGAAAAUUUCAAAAUGGUCAAAUAUUAUAGAUAUGAUACUUUAUCAAUCUUAUGUCAUAAUAGUUUAUGUGUCACGUUCUCUCAAUUCGAACUAUGAAGAGGGAUGUCGUAAUCAUAAUUGAAAUUUAAGAACACACUAUGUAUCCUUUGACUAAAUUAAUUAAAAUUUCUCAAUCUAAGCUUUAGAUUUUGAAACGAAGUAUAAUAUUCUCUCCCUUAAUUAUAGCAAAACAACUUUUCAACCCAUGCAACUUUGCAAAUUGAGUCUUUGUUUUUCUAUAAUUAAUAUUGCUAACUUGCAAUACUUGCCAUAAUAAUCAUACAAGCAUAACACUUAUGCUCCCACUAUCAUGAUUAUUAUUAUCAUAUAAGCAUAACACUUAUGCUCCCACUAGCUGUGACAUGUAUUCAGAAAACAGUUGAACUUCCAGAAAACAAUACCUAUUGAAUUUAUGAGGUUCAUAUUUCUAAUACCAGAUGCAUCGAUAAGCCUUUAUCUAAGCUUCUUACACUUAUACACAUUUGCCCUAGAUAGCUCAUAUGUAUCUUAACUAAUUCAGAACUUAUAUCAAUAAGUCCUAAAUGUUAGACUAAUUGUCAAAUCUCACAAUUCAAACUAUGGAAAGGGAUACCGUAACCAUAAUCGAAUUUGAGAAUACAAUUUUCACAAUUGUUAUCUUCUUAAAAUCUCCCUUAGUGAAAGCAUUUCUUCACAGUCAUUUUCAUGAAGGAGGGAAUCUUAUGACACUUAGAUUUUAUGGUGUAUGAGUUCCGAUCCAUGUGAAUUUUCCAAAACCAAAGUUUGCGACAAAUCCAAUUUCAUAUGGACUGAACUUUCUUAAUCUUGCCUUAUGGUAACACGAGUGCCCACCAUGUCUUCCAAGUAGUUUAGCAACUUAUCCUUACAUAUCAAUGUACUUUCCAUCCAUCAAGGUGCUUUGUCUUUAUGCAUUCAAAUGAGAAUUCACAAAACUCACAUGCAUAAUUAACUCAAUUGGAAUGGCACAGAAAACAAAAUAAUGUCAACACGAUAGGUUUUAAACCUCAUGUCGUGUGCUAGUGGUGAUCGAUAAGGUUUAUUCUUGAUUUUUUCUUGAAACUUUUUCAAGAUCAUUAAAACUCCCACUGACCUCUUGACAUAUAUGAUUCUCUUUGUAAAGAAAUAUUUCCUGACAAACAAAUAUUCAAGAGUUAGUGUAGUUAUUAUCAAGACAAAACACAUCACAAAAUUGGUCCUAAUUGGUCUUUGUCUUAUCCAAGACAUCACAACUUAUCAAUUUCAAAUGUGAAAGAAUAAGAAAACUUUUCCAAAUUCCACAUUUGAUGAGUGUUAUAAACCUACUUAAGACUUGCCACUCAAUUCACAAUCUUGGAGUAUAACUCUAAGACAUGAUAUUGGAAUAAAGUAUGAUUAACUUCUUGAUUUAACCAUUUCCACAAUUCUCGAUUCUUCUUCUUAGACAUACAAAUGCACUAAGAGUCACUUAGAGAAUCAAUUGAGAUAUGGUUCUUAAUCAAUUAAGACUUAUCAUAAAACAUGAUAAAAGGUACUCUCCCAUCCUUUUAGAACAGAGAAACUUUUAUCUUUCUGCCUACUUGAUUCUUCUUUAUUCGUUCUGCUAUUAAUUGAAACCAUUUCAAUCAAAUCAGAGUUACGCUUAUUCUUUCAAGUAUAAUCAUAUUUACUAAACUUUAGUAAAUCAUGACAAAUAUAUUUAUCACUCUUGUGGUGGAAUUGAACAAUGGACAACCUAGCGUACUCGAUCUCCUAGUCCUUCACUUGACAAUUUGUCAAAGAAUUAGUCUAAUUUCCAAAUGUGAAAGUUUUUCAUUCAUCACACAAUGCAGGUUGCAUGAUUCCAUGUUUCUGUCCAAUUGAAACUUGGGCGAUGAGAAACCCUCCCUAUUUGGUAAAUUCUUGAAAUUUCACAGAUAACAAAAUCAAGAAUCACAUCCAAUUCAACAUUGCUAAAAUUAGAAAUACAUAAACAUCCAUUUUCACAUAUGCCAUUGCAAAGAUAAAUAAAUAAGACGAAAUCAAAAAUUCAUUUUAUUGCAGAAAAACUUGUCCUUACAAUGCAAUUCAAAUGAAAACUAUGCUAUUUCAAUUUCUAAGCAAUCUAUUCUAACUCUAAAUAGUAGCUCAAAAUUCUGAUCUUCAAGCAAUGCGAUUGAAAUCCAUUUCUUCACGAUCAGAUUCAGCUUACUUCUUCCCUUAAGCUUCCUCUCUUUUCUUCGAUCCUACAAAACAUCAAUAUGUAAUCUUAUCACAUCAUGUAUUAAGAAUCUAGAAUAGGAACAUAAAGAUUUAGUUAAUGGAUUUUACCUGAAGUAGAGCCGAACGUCUUGACUCUCCCAUCUUUUAGAUCUCUCAGGUAAAUAGGGCAGCUUCGUCUCCAAUGCCCCUUCUCUUGGCAAUAAAAGAAAAUGGACUCUUUUGGAAUGGCACAAGGACCUAUCUCAGAGUUUACCUUUUCUGGAUCUCCAAUGUCACCAUUUUCAAUGUCCAUUGAAGUUUGGGAGUUUCAUUCACCAGACAAAUUUGCUUGACCACCAUGACAAAUCAUUGCUAAUUCAGCAGCUAUAAGCAAAUUGGUGAGAUCAGUGAGGGUCACGUCGUGGUCCAUCAUAUAGUUCUCUCUAACGAACUCACUAUACGAUUCAGGAAGUGACUGAAGAACCCAGUCAAUAGCCAGCUCACUUGAAAUCUUGACACCCGAUAUCCUUAACCUAUCAAUGUGUGACUUUAUCUCUAAGAUGUGUGCACACACAUGUUUCCCAUCUUCGUGUUUACUUGCCAAAAGGGCUUGAGUGAGCUUCAAAUUUUCAAGCCUUCGAACUUGUGGGUUAGGGAGAACAAUUGGAGCAGGUGGAGGAAGUGAAGCAUGAUUUCUUGUUCCUCGAUCAUAUUGUGGAAUAUCAUCUUCGUUUGGAAAGCUUGUUCCAUGGGAUUUGGGAAGACCAUGAUUGUCUGAAAGGCUUAGAAUAAUGGUUUGGUUUAGGUGUUGCGGUUAGUGAUAGGGGUACAUUUGUAAUUAGCUUUUUGUCAGUUUACGGUUGUAACUGAGUUUACGGCCGUAAACACCUUACGGCUGUAAACUCCUCACGGUCUUGGGUGUCUAUAUAUAUAGGGUUGUAUCAGACGUAAUGUUAGUGGAUGCCUUUAGUAUUUUGCGGUUCCACCAAGUUGUAUCAGACGUUUACGGUUAUAAAACGUAUGCAAGCUUGGUUUGUUACUUCUUUGUUUCUUAUUUCGCUUUGUGUGAUUGUUAUGUCCUUUUGAUCACUGGAAAGAUCUGAUUUUGAACCUUACAAUUGGUAUCAGAGCGAGACCGACGUCAAAGGCAAUCUACAGUCGCUAUUUGGUGCUAGUUCACGUGUUUCAGAAAAGGGGAUUUAUUGUUACAUUCAAAAAUCAACGAUUAUGUGUUCUCGGUCCGAGCUUACGGCCGUAAACACUGUGUUCACGGCCAUAAACCAAUCAACUUCAUCAACCGUGAAUACUAGAUUCUUGGGCAGUAAACUCUAUUUUGGUGCAAGUCGAUUAAUCUUGAAGACCGUAAUUUAAUCACAUUAAAGUAAUUGAAAGUAAAAUAAAUUAAUUCCUUGAAUCUCUGUUAAAGUUUCUGAAACGAAAAAUCACUAAGUUCACGGCCGCAAACUAUUUCUCAGCCGCAAACUACUUCUCAGCUGCAAACUCUUUUUCAGCAAUAAACGAUUUCUGGCAGUGAACUCCUUUUCAGCAGUAAAUUAAAUUUCUCUUAACAGAUAAUUUUAAUUCACUUUUGAAUCUUAAUUGACUUUAACUUAAAAAUGGAAUCACAAAAUCAAAACCAUUUUCAAGAGCUCGAUGUUGUGAUGGGAACCACCACGCGAAUUCCAAGGCUUAUGUCUGCUGAUGGGUUCCCUGAGUGGAAAUAUAGAAUUGAGAAAUACAUAAAGAUGAAAGACUUCAAGAUUUGGAUAUGUGUCAUAAAGGAUCCAGUCAGAAUCACCACUACAGUUGGGGGGCAGAUGGUUGACAAGAAAAUUGAGAACUACACUGAUGAAGACUUUAAGAGUGUAGAAGAACAGGAAAAGGCAUUGGCCAUUUUGACUAUGGCCCUAUCUCCAGACAUUGCUCAAGGGUUCAGAGAGUAUACUUCUUCUAAAGCACUGUGGGAAGCCCUUAUUGAGGUAUAUGAGGGAAAUGAAGACACGCGAGAGAGUCGCCAAGAUAUGCUGAGGCAAUGAUUCAACAUGUUUAACUAUGUGCCUAAAGAGACUCUUGUGGCUCAACUACAGCGGUUCACCACUCUUAAUAAGAAAAUAACUGUGGCAGGGAUCUUCUAUACAAAGUCAAAAAUAAAUAAGAAGCUGCUAAAUGCCCUCCCAAAAUCUUGGGACAUGAAUGUAGCGGUCAUUAAGAAGACUAAGGAUCUCAAUCGCCUUUCUCUAGCUGAAGUGAUGGCUGUCAUCAAAGCAUGUGAUAUUGAUGACAAGCAGCGAGAGAUCAAUCAUGUGAACUCCUACUCAGCUGCCAAUCUUGGCAUUUCAACUAACAAUGCUCUUUCUUCUUUCUCCUAUUCUUCUGCAGGUUUAUCUCUCAAUGCUUUUCCUCAAGCUCAGACACUCUCCCAUCCUUCGGCUUCCUCUGCAUCAGUCAUGCCCUACCCACAAAAUCAAUCAUUCGUGUCUGCUCAAACUGCUUCAUCUUCAAAUGUUGCUUCUUCUUCAAAAGGAAAACAGGGUGAUGAAAACCUUGUUUUUGCAUCAGGGCUAGUUAAUUGCUACAAUGCACUUGUAGCCGGGGAGCUUCCACCUCAAUUGUCAUUUGCAGAUCUUGAUCAAAUUCAUCCUGAGGACGUUGAGGAGAUGGAUAUCACAUAGCAAACUGCCAUGGCAGUCUUUAGGGCAAAACAAUUUGCCAAAAAGACAGGGAAGAAUAACUAGGGAAUAAAUGCUGAUAAGAAAGUUGGAUUUAACAAGGGAAAGCUUCGGUGCUUCAAUUGCCAUGAGCCAAGGCACUUUGCUAAUGAUUGCCCACAUCCUGAUAAAAGAGUUAAUAAUGACAAAACAAUGGUUGCAGUUGGGAACAGCCGAAGCAUUGGUCAAGCAAACAAUGAGAAGGCUAUGGUUGCGCAAUCUUUCGAUUGGGAUGAUCAGAUACAUGCUCUCAACUUAUCUGGACCCAAAAAUGCUCAUCUGGCACAUGUAAGGGAUGAUGCUCCAACACAGAUUGUAGCAGCUGAAGACAGUGUGAUGGAAUUACAGUUUGCUUUGAUGGUAUCCUCUUCUCAUGAACCUAAUUCAUCCAAGGUAAGUCUUCCAUCAUGUUAUCAGGCUUGCAUUGAUUAUGUAAAAACUUUACAUGACAAAAUUGAGACGUUAGGCAAUGAAGUACAAAAUCUUAGAAUUCUUCGUGAACUUAAUGAAAAAUUAAUAAGAGACGUAGAAGACCUUAGAUAUGAAGGGUACCAACUUUGAAAAGGACAAAAACCACUAAAAGCUCAAUUGGAAUCGAAAAUUAAGGACUUUAGAAGACUCCAGGAAGACUAUAGUAACAAAUGUGAAAACUAUGAUUAUGUGGCCAAACAAAAUGCUGAGCUAGUGGCUGAAGUUGAAUCUUUGAAAGGAAAGUUUGAAACCGCCAAACUUGAUGUUAGAAAAUAUGACUUUUCAAGUGAGGUGGUUGCAAAUAUGAUAGACCAAAGCAUGCAGUUUAAAAGAAAUCAAUCAAAAGGUCUAGGGUAUAAUCAUGUACCCCCUUCCUUCAAUCAUUCAUAUGUGCCAAAGCCUUUGUCUAAAGAAGAGAUUGCCAAUGAAUCAUUUAUGGUUUAUGGCAAGCCCUUCGGUUUUAUUUCGGGAGGAUUUUUUAAUGUUGAAAGUACUAACAUUUCUACUUCUCCUGCAGAUCAAUCCUUGAAUCAGUCAAAGCACGAAGUUGAAGGAUGUGUUUCUGAAAAUAAAAUCGAGUCUAAACCUGAAGCUUUAGUUUUUAAUAAAGACAAUACGUUUUCUGAUAUUUCUAAAGCCAAUGUUUUUUGUGAUGGUGUUUUUAUGACUUCUGAUACUGGUUUGAAUGUUUUGAAAAAGUCUAGUUUGAACAUUGUGAUUGACAAUUCUAAUGUUUGUGAUAAAGAUGUACCACUAAUCUCACAACCCUCUCCAUCCAAUGCACCCUCACUUUCCUCACAACCUAAUAAUGUUGCUUGCUCUUGUGAGAAAAGCAAGGGUGCAGGUAGGGAAAACAAAUAUGAUCAAUGUAGUACAAGCUAUAACAAUAAUAAGCAGAUUUGUUUUAAUUGCGGUACUAGUGGUCAUAUUGCUAGAAAUUGUCAAAAUCGUAUGUUUGUGAGUUAUAACCUACCAAGAGGAGAGAACGAGUUCAGAGGAAGGUCUUUAAAUAGAACUCCUCUAGAAGUCAUUCUCGAAAUAAUGAUUGGGCAGAUGAACGGAAUAGAAAACGAGCUGUUUUUCAAAGACAUAAAAGGUUUUUUAAUCACCAUGUCCCAGGCAGUCUGCCAAAAACAAGCACAGCCAAGCCAAGGUCAAUCUCCACACAAAGCCACAGUGGGUCUUCAACAAACUCUGGUAGAAGUCACACAGGCGUUAAGCAGACUAAUAAACACUCCAUGACUAAAUCAACUGGAACAUUUAGAAAACCUAAUUAUAAAUGGCUGCCUAAACCUGCUCUCAAUACAUCAUUUGUGUCCUCAGAAAAAUCUAAAUAUGACAAAUCUGAAGAGGCAUCAGGAUCACCCAGGAAGGUCAUGAACUAGGUGCCCAAAUCUAAUUAAACCCACACAUUUUGCAGGGACAGUUGCGGGGAAAUGUCGUCAGACCCUGGUUCGUCGACAACGGCUGUUCCCGACAUAUGAUGGGAGAUAUCACCCAACAACAUAACAUUCAAUCAUUUAAUGGGUAUAUGUCUCUUUUGCGGGUGGAAAUGCUGGUAAAAUCACUCAAAGAGGAACCGUCUCAAAUGGAGUUUUAAGUUUCGAAAAUGUCAAUUUUGCUCCCGGGUUGAAACAUAGUUUGUUAAGCGUUUCUCAGAUCUGUGACAAGGGCUAUUCUACGCAUUUCACUGACAAGGAAUGCAUGAUUCUAAAGCCAGGCUUUGUCAUCCCAAAAGAAUGGAUUCUUGUAAAAUCAAAAAGGGAUGGGAACGCCUAUAUCAUCGAUAUGAAUAGCAAUCUUCCAGAACAGUUACGUGUCUUUUCUCCAAGAUCUCCGAGCAAACUGCCAUGCUGUGGGACCGAAGAUUAGGUCAUGCUAACGCCAAGAACCUAAAUCGUCUUGCGACGAAUGAGAUGGUCCAUGGGCUGCCCGUCAAGGACUUCAUUUUGUUUGAGAAGUGUGCGUCGUGUGCUCAAGGAAAGCAUCAUAGAAAGUCGUCUUGGGUUUUGAGCAAUCUAACACUUCCUAAGUGUGCACGCAACCCUAAUAAACCUUGGAUCUAUGUUUUCUUAUAAAAUACAUGCAAAUAAUAACUUCCAAGGUUUCUUCCUAACUAGCAUAGCAUAAGGAUUAUGAAUCAUAAAAGUACUAGUAGAAAUACAUACCUUUUGAUGAUGGUUGAUUGUUUGGAGUUUGAGAGCCAAGCACCAAUAGUGUGAAUGCCUCAAAUGGAAUCACAAAUCACCACAAACACUUGGAAAACUUUGAGAGAGUAGUAUACUUUCUUGUGGAAUCGGCCACCACUAAGUCUCACACAACUAGAGUGUCAUUUCUUGCAUCAUAUGCUUCUUUAUAUAGUGUGCAUGGUUAGGGUGAAACCCUAAUAACCCAUGUCUUUUCCUUUCCAAGGAUCCAUGGGUUAAAAGCUCCAUGGAUCAUCCAUGGACUUCCAUAUUAGCUUAGCCCAUUAACAAAUGAGUAUUAGCCCACACUAUAUAAAAUAUAAUAGCCCAUAAUUUAAUCAGUCUUCUUUUUAAUCUCUAAAUUAAUUCAUAAUUAAUUUAAGACUAAAACUAAUUAAAUAACAUGACUUCAUAUUAAUAUAUUAUAACUUAUAAUAUAUUAAUAAAUCGUAAGUAUACAAUUCUCAUAAAAUUAUCCAUAAAUCGUUUGGGUGAAGUGCAACCCAAAUGGACCAUGCCGGGUCGGGUCAAGUAUGUACCAAAUAAGUUAUGGACUUAGACACCUUAUCCAACAGACUCCCACUUGGAUAAGUCUAAUAACUAUAUUUGCGUAUGUUACUUCAGGAACCAACCAGCAAUCGUAGCUCUCGAAAACUCUGUUGAACUAUGAAGCGCCAUUUUAGAUAAGUGAUCAUAUAAUCCUCUGUUCUCAUGAUAUCAGCCGGACAAAUACAUGGAACAACGUCGUACUUAUUGUCCAGCAGUUUGUUUCCCGAUUUUCGAUUUGUUUGACAAAGAACUUAAUCGAACACAUCAAUUUAGUUCUGACCGGCCGGUACAUAGGUCACAACAAAAUCAUCGAGGGGCCCAGAUAUCGCUUCUAUUUCUAGAAGGAACAGAUAAACUUCGACUCAUAUGCUUGUUCUACUACUUGUUGAAUUGUACACAAAGGCACGUUUUAUAACAUCAAGUUACUGAUGCGUUUACGUGCAAUCAAUGCACAACCAACUCAUAGGUAACAACUCAUAUCUCUAGGUUUGAAGAUUUAUAUGAUAUUACCGUCUCACGAUCACUCGAGAUAAAUUCCAUGAAGUGAUACAAGUGAGCGUGGGUUUAUUCCAAUACUCAUAACUUAUGAGCACUCAUGAAUGUUGUAGCAACCAUUGCUAUGACUAAACCCAUUUAGCCAUCUACAAACUCGAUUCAUGACAGUCUUGAUUCAUACCUACUUCCAACAUAUGAACGACUGUGGAGUGUUUAAAUAACUUAGUCAUUCGGAAAGAAUAACCUAGCUAUUUUGGAAGUCAAAACAUGCAAAGUGAAACACAAUAAUAAUCGAAUCCAAUAUGGUCUCAGAACCCUUUUGAAUAUAAAUAGAACCACCUUUUAUUUAUCACCAUAUUGAUUACACAUUAUUCAUUGUAUAAUGUUUCAAACAAUCAACUUAAGACUUGAAUAAAAACAACAGUCGUCCCAUGCUCCUAGCAUGUACACUUUGUUUUUCUAAACAAUAGUUAUGCCAUACUCCAAGUAUGCACACUAUGUUUGUCUAUGAUCCUUACAUUGUGAUGUAGAUCAAUUGAACAUGAUUCCAAUGAUACUCAUUUCACAAUCCCAAAUCCUUAUUGUAAAUGUGAGAAUCCCCGAUUCCUAUCAUUUACCAAAAAAACUGUUAGAUUUUAAACUUUUAUGCAAUGUUCCUCUUGUAAUGAUUAUGCACAAAGUCACCAAAACCUUGUCACCAGUCAUUACAGAGUAUUCCAAAGAAGGUCAACUUCUAUGGAACGGAAGUCUCAUAUUCAAAGUACAUUGCUUUGAACAUCCUUCUUGCAUUAAGGUUUUCUAAUCUUACAUAGAUUGAAUAACUUCCACCUAUGGAGACAUUUCCAUAGUCCCAUUUUGACUAUCACUUCCGAACAAGAGUUACUUCUUUUCAGAAUAUGUCAAUAUGGUCCUUUCCGACAACUUACAUCAUACUUCCAACUUUCCCUGAGCAACCAAUCUUUGGCGAACCUCAGAUUGUCCUCGACAAUUGCUUAAUCACUUUAGUCAUAUCCAGUUCUAGACUUUUCCCUUCUCAAUGCCUUAAGCAUUUGGAAAAUUUAGAAAAGAUGAAUAUUAUAGCACAUGCAAUCGAUCCUAUAUCCGAAGCAUAUGGGACACGAUUCAUGAUGUUUGACAUAAAGACAUGAUACUAGACCAGUCUUUUGCUACAAUAUUUUUUAUUUGCCAUGUUUUCAAAAUUUAACUAUGAAGAGGGAUGCCGUAAUCAUAAUCGAAUUUUGAAAACGCAAUAUAUAUAGAAUUUCUUCAAGUUGAACCAUUCCAACAUAAAAUUCAUAUAUAUAUUCUUGACUAAAGAUGAUUAAAAUCUCAAUCUAAGCUUUAGAAUUGAAAUGAAGUAUAAUUUCCUCUCCCUUAAUUAUAGCAAAACAACUUUUCAACCCCUGCAACUUCACGAAUUGAAACUUUGUUUUCUAUAAUUAACAUUGCUAACUUGCAACACUAAACGUAAUAAUCAUGCUCCCACUAACAUGAUGAUUAUCAGCAUAACACUUAUGCUCCCACUAGCUCUGACAUAUUUCCAGAAAUCUGCUGGACUUCUGAAAUUUAGAUUCAUACACCCUUUCUUAGAUAGCUCACAUGUGUGUCUAAACAAUUUUCAGAACUAUGAAAAGGGAUGCCGUAAUCAUAGUCUCAAUUGCUUAGGCAUUUGCCAUUUCUCACAAGUCCAUGUUAGUGUGCCGGUUAACCACACGCGCUCCACUAACGACUUUUGAAAAUGCAAAUAACACAAUUGAUAUCUACGUAAAAUCUACUUAGUGAAAGCGUUUCCUCACCAUCAUUUUCAUGAAUCGGAGAGAAACCUUAUGACACUUAGAUUUUAUAGUGUAUGAGUUCCUAUCCAUGUGAAUUUGUCAAAACCAUAAUCACAAGAUAAGGUUAGUGACAAAUUCAGCCUUACAUGGAUUAAACUUGUUCAAUCUUAGUUUCUUGUCACC
rnacentral:lncRNA from 1 species